rnacentral:rRNA from 1 species
UGACCAGACUCCUACGGGAGGCAGCAGUGGGGAAUAUUGGACAAUGGGGGGAACCCUGAUCCAGCGACGCCGCGUGAGUGAAGAAGUAUUUCGGUAUGUAAAGCUCUAUCAGCAGGGAAGAAAGAAAUGACGGUACCUGACUAAGAAGCCCCGGCUAACUACGUGCCAGCAGCCGCGGUAAUACGUAGGGGGCAAGCGUUAUCCGGAAUUACUGGGUGUAAAGGGAGCGUAGACGGUGAUGCAAGUCUGGAGUGAAAGGCGGGGGCCCAACCCCCGGACUGCUCUGGAAACUGUAUGACUUGAGUGCAGGAGAGGUAAGCGGAAUUCCUAGUGUAGCGGUGAAAUGCGUAGAUAUUAGGAGGAACACCAGUGGCGAAGGCGGCCUGCUGGACUGCAACUGACGUUGAGGCCCGAAAGCGUGGGGAGCGAACAGGAUUAGAUACCCGAGUA